UACGAGGGGUGCAAGCGUUAUUCGGAAUCAUUGGGCGUAAAGGGUGCGUAGACGGCUUUUCAAGUCAACUGUUUAAUUCUCCGGCCUAACUGGAGACCAGCGGUAGAUACUGAUUAGCUUGAGGUUGGAAGAGAGAAGUGGAAUUCUCGGAGUAGCGGUAAAAUGCGUAGAUCUCGAGAGGAACACCGAUGGCGAAGGCAGCUUCUUGGUCCAAAUCUGACGUUGAGGCACGAAAGCGUGGGGAGCAAACAGG
rnacentral:rRNA from 2 species